rnacentral:rRNA from 1 species
UACGUAGGGGGCAAGCGUUGUCCGGAUUUAUUGGGCGUAAAGAGCGUGUAGGCGGCCUGAAAGGUCAGCUGUGAAAACUCGAGGCUCAACCUCGAGACGUCGGUUGAAACCAUCUGGCUAGAGUCCGGAAGAGGAGUGUGGAAUUCCCGGUGUAGCGGUGAAAUGCGCAGAUAUCGGAAGGAACACCUGUGGCGAAAGCGGCUCACUGGACCAUUACUGACGCUGAUGCGCGAAAGCUAGGGGAGCAAACAGG